rnacentral:rRNA from 1 species
UACGGAGGGCUCAAGCGUUGUUCGGAUUCAUUGGGCGUAAAGGGUGCGUAGGCGGCGCGGUAAGUCGGGUGUGAAAUCUCGGAGCUUAACUCCGAAACUGCAUUCGAUACUGCCGUGCUUGAGGACUGGAGAGGAGAGUGGAAUUUACGGUGUAGCGGUGAAAUGCGUAGAUAUCGUAAGGAAGACCAGUGGCGAAGGCGGGUCUCUGGACAGUUCCUGACGCUGAGGCACGAAGGUCAGGGGAGCAAACGGG